UCAGGACGAACGCUGGCGGCGUGCUUAACACAUGCAAGUCGAGCGGUAAGGCCUUUCGGGGUACACGAGCGGCGAACGGGUGAGUAACACGUGGGUGAUCUGCCCUGCACUCUGGGAUAAGCCCGGGAAACUGGGUCUAAUACCGGAUAUGACUGCAUGCCGCAUGGUGUGUGGUGGAAAGCUUUAUGUGGUGCAGGAUGGGCCCGCGGCCUAUCAGCUUGUUGGUGGGGUAAUGGCCUACCAAGGCGACGACGGGUAGCCGACCUGAGAGGGUGACCGGCCACACUGGGACUGAGACACGGCCCAGACUCCUACGGGAGGCAGCAGUGGGGAAUAUUGCACAAUGGGCGGAAGCCUGAUGCAGCGACGCCGCGUGAGGGAUGAAGGCCUUCGGGUUGUAAACCUCUUUCAGCAGGGACGAAGCGUGAGUGACGGUACCUGCAGAAGAAGCACCGGCUAACUACGUGCCAGCAGCCGCGGUAAUACGUAGGGUGCGAGCGUUGUCCGGAAUUACUGGGCGUAAAGAGUUCGUAGGCGGUUUGUCGCGUCGUUUGUGAAAACCCGGGGCUCAACUUCGGGCUUGCAGGCGAUACGGGCAGACUUGAGUGUUUCAGGGGAGACUGGAAUUCCUGGUGUAGCGGUGAAAUGCGCAGAUAUCAGGAGGAACACCGGUGGCGAAGGCGGGUCUCUGGGAAACAACUGACGCUGAGAAC
rnacentral:rRNA from 1 species